UAUGAUUUAAAGUGUAUCAAUUUAUCUAUAUCUAUCUAUUAAUCUCCAAUACCUAAAGCUGACGUGGCACAACAUUAUUUUUUUGGAUUUUUUUUUGCAACCUCAUUUUUUUGAGGUUUUUUUAGGACAUGUAUUUUCUCAUUUUUUGUACCCUGUGUUUAAACUGUAUCAAUUUAGUACUCUAUGAUUUAAAGUGUAUCAAUUUAUUCCCUUAUUUUGGAGUUGUGGGGCCCACAUAUAAUAUUUUUUACGAAUUAAUCGCACAUUGGUUCCAACAUUUUCACUAUUUUUUAUUUUGGUCCUCAAUAUUUUUUUUUGCAAUCAAAUUUUCGAAUCUCUUGAUUUCAUCGCAAUAAAAUAGCAAUGUUAAAAGAGGUUUUAUAAUUAACGAUAUUAUCAUGCGGCUCAUGCCAUUGCCUAUUUAACUUUCUUUUGCAUGUCAAUUUUAGUCCCCAAAAAUAAAAAUUUUUAAUUUUUAAUUUAAAUCCAGAAUUAAUUUUAGAAUUAAUCUUAAACUUAGUUCAAAAAACUUAUAAGUAUAAAGAAGUCUAUAAUCAUAAGAAUAUAGUAGCUGAAAUAUAUAUAUAUAUAGGCUGGGGCUAUUAUACUCUUAUGAGUAUAGAGCAUCUUGUACUCAUAAGUUUUUAGCCGUUCAGAUGAAAAAAUGUGCAAUUAGGAUGAGAGUGAUUACGAUUAGGUUGAUAGUGGACCCCCUAGGGUUGAGUGGGUGGUUGGUUGAAUAGUAUAAUUUAACGAGUAAAAAUAAUUAAAGAGUGAAUCAAACGACUAAAAAGUUAUGAGUACAAGAAGUUCUAUACUCAUAAGAGUAUAGUGGCCGAACUAUAACUAUAUAUAUAUAUAUAUAUAUAUAUAUAUAUAAUUGAGCUAGAAUACUUUUACAAGUAUCACUCCUUUGGUGCUAUUAGGUUUUUAGCCCUUGGAUCUCCUCAUUGAUUACUAAUAGCCGUUGGAUCAAACACUAUUCCACUUACACCACCUACUACCACCUACCACUAUCAUCCCAACCCUACAUUUCUCUAUCCAAGGGUUAAAAACUCACAAGCACCAUUCUCUUGAUGCUUUUAGAAAUAUUCUAGCUCAAUUAUAUAUNA
rnacentral:lncRNA from 1 species